rnacentral:rRNA from 1 species
AAAUUGAAGAGUUUGAUCAUGGCUCAGAUUGAACGCUGGCGGCAGGCCUAACACAUGCAAGUCGAACGGUAACAGGAAGCAGCUUGCUGCUUUGCUGACGAGUGGCGGACGGGUGAGUAAUGUCUGGGAAACUGCCCGAUGGAGGGGGAUAACUACUGGAAACGGUAGCUAAUACCGCAUAACGUCGCAAGACCAAAGAGGGGGACCUUAGGGCCUCUUGCCAUCGGAUGUGCCCAGAUGGGAUUAGCUAGUAGGUGGGGUAACGGCUCACCUAGGCGACGAUCCCUAGCUGGUCUGAGAGGAUGACCAGCCACACUGGAACUGAGACACGGUCCAGACUCCUACGGGAGGCAGCAGUGGGGAAUAUUGCACAAUGGGCGCAAGCCUGAUGCAGCCAUGCCGCGUGUAUGAAGAAGGCCUUCGGGUUGUAAAGUACUUUCAGCGGGGAGGAAGGGAGUAAAGUUAAUACCUUUGCUCAUUGACGUUACCCGCAGAAGAAGCACCGGCUAACUCCGUGCCAGCAGCCGCGGUAAUACGGAGGGUGCAAGCGUUAAUCGGAAUUACUGGGCGUAAAGCGCACGCAGGCGGUUUGUUAAGUCAGAUGUGAAAUCCCCGGGCUCAACCUGGGAACUGCAUCUGAUACUGGCAAGCUUGAGUCUCGUAGAGGGGGGUAGAAUUCCAGGUGUAGCGGUGAAAUGCGUAGAGAUCUGGAGGAAUACCGGUGGCGAAGGCGGCCCCCUGGACGAAGACUGACGCUCAGGUGCGAAAGCGUGGGGAGCAAACAGGAUUAGAUACCCUGGUAGUCCACGCCGUAAACGAUGUCGACUUGGAGGUUGUGCCCUUGAGGCGUGGCUUCCGGAGCUAACGCGUUAAGUCGACCGCCUGGGGAGUACGGCCGCAAGGUUAAAACUCAAAUGAAUUGACGGGGGCCCGCACAAGCGGUGGAGCAUGUGGUUUAAUUCGAUGCAACGCGAAGAACCUUACCUGGUCUUGACAUCCACGGAAGUUUUCAGAGAUGAGAAUGUGCCUUCGGGAACCGUGAGACAGGUGCUGCAUGGCUGUCGUCAGCUCGUGUUGUGAAAUGUUGGGUUAAGUCCCGCAACGAGCGCAACCCUUAUCCUUUGUUGCCAGCGGUCCGGCCGGGAACUCAAAGGAGACUGCCAGUGAUAAACUGGAGGAAGGUGGGGAUGACGUCAAGUCAUCAUGGCCCUUACGACCAGGGCUACACACGUGCUACAAUGGCGCAUACAAAGAGAAGCGACCUCGCGAGAGCAAGCGGACCUCAUAAAGUGCGUCGUAGUCCGGAUUGGAGUCUGCAACUCGACUCCAUGAAGUCGGAAUCGCUAGUAAUCGUGGAUCAGAAUGCCACGGUGAAUACGUUCCCGGGCCUUGUACACACCGCCCGUCACACCAUGGGAGUGGGUUGCAAAAGAAGUAGGUAGCUUAACCUUCGGGAGGGCGCUUACCACUUUGUGAUUCAUGACUGGGGUGAAGUCGUAACAAGGUAACCGUAGGGGAACCUGCGGUUGGAUCACCUCCUUACCUUAAAGA